rnacentral:lncRNA from 1 species
AGGACACCUCCUACUACGAUGUGGCUCGACACGGGAUCCUCCAGGUAACCAGGACACCCCCUACUACGAUGUGGCUCGACACGGGAUCCUCCAGGUCACAGGUAACCAGGACACCCCCUACUACGAUGUGGCUCGACACGGGAUCCUCCAGGUCACAGGUAAACAGGACACCCCCUACUACGAUGUGGCUCGACACGGGAUCCUCCAGGUCACAGGACACCUCUCACCCCUACUACGAUGUGGCUCGACACGGGAUCCUCCAGGUCACAGGUAACCAGGACACCUCCUACUACGAUGUGGCUCGACACGGGAUCCUCCAGGUAACCAGGACACCUCCUACUACGAUGUGGC